GCCCUUCCUAGAACAUGCUCACUGUUUAUAUGAUUUCCUGGUAUAAUGUUAUGCAGAGGCAACAAACAGCGAAACUGGCAUACUAAGGACUCAACUUCUAUAGAUAAUAAACAAUUCAGCAGUCGUCACAGACCACAAGAACAUAUACAAAAAAAAACUGUACAAAUGCUAUCGUUAUCACAAUGGAUUACUCUAAGUAGGUUGACUUGAUUCGAUAAAUUCAAACCCAGAAAGCUGUGCAAGCUCUGACAGUUCUUGCUCUCCACUCAAAACCUGACCAUUGAUCACCCAUGUUGGAAAUCCCUCGAUUUUAGCAUCUGCACAUGCCUUGGCUAUUUUAGUUCCUUUCCUGUAUCCGUCAGGAAAGCAUUCCACAUAGUCCAACAUUUCCAAUGCCUCCUUUCCAAACAUCUGUUUUUGUUCUAAACAAUGUGAACACCAGAAAGCCCCAUACAUUUUAGCUCCAAUGGAAUGCAGAUGCUUUGCCAGUGAAACAGCAAAAGGACUUGAUGGCGUGGUUAUUUCAGAGGUAAAAUAUGGUAGGUCAAUUUCAGCCUGGCUGUAUAUAUAGAAAUGAUCGAGAAAAUGUUAGGGUGAAUGCUCACUUGCAGAAAAAGAUGGGCAGGCAUCUUAAAGUAUAAUUAGAGAAGCAUGUAGCAACCAAGCAACAUAUACAUCUAUUCUAACUAUCAGAUGCCACUACCUCCCUCAUACUUGCCAAGAUUAUAACUUGCCAUUAAUAAAUCCAAAGAAUUGACUAUCUAGCCAAGAUUACUACUGCUCAUCUAACCAGUGAGUAGCAGUAACUAACAUCCACAGACCAAAAACACAAAUAGGUGGCUCCAGGAACCAAAAUAUACAGCUGGAAUUUUUGAAGAGGGAAAAAAUUCUUAUAUAACUGCUCAUGAAAGUGAAACAAAGAUGCCAUGAUCUAUGCACAGAUUUAAUCACCUUGAGGAGACGGAUGGAGAAGUACCAUAUGAGGUGCUCAGGGCAGCAAUCACCAAGAUUGCUAUAGACAACUGCAAACCCAAUACUUUCUGUAUCUCUUGUAACCCAAAAUCCUUUAUAGUGAUGAAAAAUAAGCUGAGUGACAAGAAAGCUGACAUUAGGCAGUAUGAGCAAGAUGCUCCUGAGAAUUUUGUGCUAAGAAUGUACAAAAAAUAUCCACUAGCAGUUGCCAUGGAGGUAGUGAUCGCAAGUAAAAGCAAACGACCAUUAGACUCGCCAAUUCCAAAGGGUAAGUUAUUUCCUUUCAACUGUAACCCAAGUGCUGAAACAAAACCAUAUGCUACUAUCCCAAAGACUGGAAGAGGAACACCAAAAACGAUAGCGUAAUCACUGUUCAGUACGUCGCCGCAGCUGCCACCACCAACAGGGCAAAAGGCAUCGGAAUCGGUGAGCUUGAGGUAAGUCAAAUAUACAGUUUCUAGAAACCCUAUACCUCCGAGAGCUGCACACCAAUUGUAUGUAGAAAUGCUCGAAGAUGAAAAGGAUGAAGACGAAGAGGAAGAGGAAGAAGACGCCGCCGUUUCGGAUUCUGAUUCCGCAUCUUGACUCGGCCCAGAGGACAUGCACUUCACUGUCAAACCUCGACACCAAACCUUGAAUUGGGUUAUGGGCGUAAUGGAACGAGGAGGAAGAGAAGGGAGAGGUGAGGAUCCACACAGGAAUGGAGGAGACGAGAUGUUGAGGAAGCUAGCCAUUGUUGCCCUCUCUCUUCUUCACCGUACAAACAUGUGGCCAAGGUCUAGUUUCUUUUCUGCUCAGUUAACAGGGUGCAGUUGAUUUUCAG
rnacentral:misc_RNA from 1 species